rnacentral:rRNA from 1 species
AACGAACGCUGGCGGCAUGCCUAACACAUGCAAGUCGAACGAGACCUUCGGGUUUAGCGGCGCACGGGUGAGUAACGCGUGGGAACCUGCCCUUAGGUUCGGAAUAACUCCCCGAAAGGGGCGCUAAUACCGGAUAAUGUCUUCGGACCAAAGACUUAUCGCCUUUGGAUGGGCCCGCGUUGGAUUAGCUAGUUGGUAGGGUAAAAGCCUACCAAGGCGACGAUCCAUAGCUGGUCUGAGAGGAUGAUCAGCCACACUGGGACUGAGACACGGCCCAGACUCCUACGGGAGGCAGCAGUGGGGAAUAUUGGACAAUGGGCGAAAGCCUGAUCCAGCAAUGCCGCGUGAGUGAUGAAGGCCUUAGGGUUGUAAAGCUCUUUUACCCGGGAUGAUAAUGACAGUACCGGGAGAAUAAGCUCCGGCUAACUCCGUG